ACAGAGUAAAGGCAAAGGAGGGAGGAGAGGAUAAAAUCUAUUCGUCUGAUAUUAAAGAUAUUGAACCCUCACGGAUCUUCAAUGUCAAAAGUGAAUUUUUUUCUAACUUUCCAGAAAUUAACAAAACAUAUUUGAUUUUUAAAAUAAUUUUUUAAAUUACUAAAACGUUUUGUUCUUAAAAUAAACUAAAAAUAUAUUAUU